AGUGAACGCUGGCGGUAGGCCUAACACAUGCAAGUCGAACGGCAGCACAGGAGAGCUUGCUCUCAGGGUGGCGAGUGGCGGACGGGUGAGGAAUACAUCGGAAUCUACUUUUUCGUGGGGGAUAACGUAGGGAAACUUACGCUAAUACCGCAUACGACCUACGGGUGAAAGCAGGGGAUCCCCGGACCUUGCGCGAUUGAAUGAGCCGAUGUCGGAUUAGCUAGUUGGCGGGGUAAAGGCCCACCAAGGCGACGAUCCGUAGCUGGUCUGAGAGGAUGAUCAGCCACACUGGAACUGAGACACGGUCCAGACUCCUACGGGAGGCAGCAGUGGGGAAUAUUGGACAAUGGGCGCAAGCCUGAUCCAGCCAUACCGCGUGGGUGAAGAAGGCCUUCGGGUUGUAAAGCCCUUUUGUUGGGAAAGAAAUCCAGCUGGUUAAUACCCGGUUGGGAUGACGGUACCCAAAGAAUAAGCACCGGCUAACUUCGUGCCAGCAGCCGCCGUAA
rnacentral:rRNA from 1 species